GACAGAGGGUGCAAACGUUGCUCGGAAUCACUGGGCGUAAAGGGCGUGUAGGCGGGAAGGAAAGUCGGGCGUGAAAUCCCUGGGCUCAACCCAGGAACUGCACUCGAAACUUCUUUUCUUGAGUGCCGGAGAGGAAAGCGGAAUUCCUGGUGUAGAGGUGAAAUUCGUAGAUAUCAGGAGGAACACCAGUGGCGAAGGCGGCUUUCUGGACGGGUAAC
rnacentral:rRNA from 1 species